rnacentral:rRNA from 1 species
AAAUUGAAGAGUUUGAUCAUGGCUCAGAUUGAACGCUGGCGGCAGGCCUAACACAUGCAAGUCGAACGGUAACAGGAAGCAGCUUGCUGCUUUGCUGACGAGUGGCGGACGGGUGAGUAAUGUCUGGGAAACUGCCUGAUGGAGGGGGAUAACUACUGGAAACGGUAGCUAAUACCGCAUAACGUCGCAAGACCAAAGAGGGGGACCUUCGGGCCUCUUGCCAUCGGAUGUGCCCAGAUGGGAUUAGCUAGUAGGUGGGGUAACGGCUCACCUAGGCGACGAUCCCUAGCUGGUCUGAGAGGAUGACCAGCCACACUGGAACUGAGACACGGUCCAGACUCCUACGGGAGGCAGCAGUGGGGAAUAUUGCACAAUGGGCGCAAGCCUGAUGCAGCCAUGCCGCGUGUAUGAAGAAGGCCUUCGGGUUGUAAAGUACUUUCAGCGGGGAGGAAGGCGUUGUGGUUAAUAACCACAGCGAUUGACGUUACCCGCAGAAGAAGCACCGGCUAACUCCGUGCCAGCAGCCGCGGUAAUACGGAGGGUGCAAGCGUUAAUCGGAAUUACUGGGCGUAAAGCGCACGCAGGCGGUCUGUCAAGUCGGAUGUGAAAUCCCCGGGCUCAACCUGGGAACUGCAUUCGAAACUGGCAGGCUAGAGUCUUGUAGAGGGGGGUAGAAUUCCAGGUGUAGCGGUGAAAUGCGUAGAGAUCUGGAGGAAUACCGGUGGCGAAGGCGGCCCCCUGGACAAAGACUGACGCUCAGGUGCGAAAGCGUGGGGAGCAAACAGGAUUAGAUACCCUGGUAGUCCACGCCGUAAACGAUGUCGACUUGGAGGUUGUGCCCUUGAGGCGUGGCUUCCGGAGCUAACGCGUUAAGUCGACCGCCUGGGGAGUACGGCCGCAAGGUUAAAACUCAAAUGAAUUGACGGGGGCCCGCACAAGCGGUGGAGCAUGUGGUUUAAUUCGAUGCAACGCGAAGAACCUUACCUACUCUUGACAUCCAGAGAACUUUCCAGAGAUGGAUUGGUGCCUUCGGGAACUCUGAGACAGGUGCUGCAUGGCUGUCGUCAGCUCGUGUUGUGAAAUGUUGGGUUAAGUCCCGCAACGAGCGCAACCCUUAUCCUUUGUUGCCAGCGGUCCGGCCGGGAACUCAAAGGAGACUGCCAGUGAUAAACUGGAGGAAGGUGGGGAUGACGUCAAGUCAUCAUGGCCCUUACGAGUAGGGCUACACACGUGCUACAAUGGCGCAUACAAAGAGAAGCGACCUCGCGAGAGCAAGCGGACCUCAUAAAGUGCGUCGUAGUCCGGAUUGGAGUCUGCAACUCGACUCCAUGAAGUCGGAAUCGCUAGUAAUCGUGGAUCAGAAUGCCACGGUGAAUACGUUCCCGGGCCUUGUACACACCGCCCGUCACACCAUGGGAGUGGGUUGCAAAAGAAGUAGGUAGCUUAACCUUCGGGAGGGCGCUUACCACUUUGUGAUUCAUGACUGGGGUGAAGUCGUAACAAGGUAACCGUAGGGGAACCUGCGGUUGGAUCACCUCCUUA